CACGUAGGGCGCAAGCGUUGUCCGGAAUUAUUGGGCGUAAAGCGCACGUAGGCGGCUUUGUAAGUAAGAGGUGAAAGCCCAGAGCUCAACUCUGGAAUUGCCUUUUAGACUGCAUCGCUUGAAUCAUGGAGAGGUCAGUGGAAUUCCGAGUGUAGAGGUGAAAUUCGUAGAUAUUCGGAAGAACACCAGUGGCGAAGGCGGCUGACUGGACAUGUAUUGACGCUGAGGUGCGAAAGCGUGGGGAGCAAACAGG
rnacentral:rRNA from 1 species